GAACCAAACCCCUUCCCGGUCGCCGCCGCUCGUCGCCGCCGCCACUUGUCCAGGAGGGUACCCAGGCGACCCGCGUCGCCACUCGCCCAGGAAGUGUUGCUGCUCGUCCAGGAGGGUUGCCGCCCGCCCAUCCGGCCUCCCGCUUCCCGCCUCCGCACGUUUUUGGCCUGGGGUGUCAGCAAACCGUUGAUCGCACCGAUGGAGUCCGACGGCGAGCAGGAGGCGGCGGCCACGCCGACGCUGGGAGCCUCCGCGGGGGCGCCGUCGGCAGGACGGCUGAAGGGCUGCCCGGAGCUCUCGCUGGAGGGCGACAUGCGAGAGAUGGCCAAGACGGCCGUCUGGAGCGUCAGCUCCAGCAAGCCCGGCAAUGGCGUUGCCUCCCUACGCGAUGACAGCCUCGACACCUACUGGCAGUCGGACGGUGCGCAACCGCACCUGGUCAACAUCCAGUUCCAGAAGAAGGUGCAGCUGCAGCUUGUUGUGCUGUACGUGGAUUUUAAGCUGGACGAGAGCUACACGCCGAGCAAGAUCUCCAUCCGGGCCGGCGACGGCUUGCACAAUCUCAAGGAAAUUAAAACGGUGGAACUUUCAAAGCCAGUAGGAUGGGUUCAUAUAUCAUUAUCUGGCACUGAUCCCCGAGAAACAUUCAUUCAUGCAUUUAUGCUCCAAAUCGCGGUGUUGGCCAAUCACCUGAAUGGGAGGGACACUCAUGUCCGACAGAUUAAGAUAUACGGGCCAAGACUGUAAGUUGGAUACUGUACAAGCAGCCAACCAACCAUCUGUUUGCAUUCCGUAACACGAGAAUGAACCCCGUUCCUCACCAGCAUUUCCACUUCAUUUCCAGGGAAUGCAUAAUGUACUCUAGCGUCAGGUGAGAUUCCCCGAACCCUCGCCGCCUCACUGGGGAGGGAUCAUCCUCGGUCAAGGUGACCUUGAUUGUGGCCUGCACGCUUCAGUACGAACGCCGACAUGAAUUAAGUAGCCGCUGAAGUAUUCUGCCUAUGUUAGUGUGGAUCGAGUUGCCGCUGAAGCAUCAUGCACAUCUACCAUGUAGUUGAUCUUGUAUCCCAUUCCAUCUACCAUCUAUUAUUGGUACAUCCUUUUCAUCCAUGUAAUAUACACCCUCCAUUCCCUUAUACAAAGCCACUUUGUCUUUCGUGUCAAA